GUGCUUGGAUAGGUCUCCAUGACGACUUGGUGAACAGCUGGGGAUGGUCCCUGAGUGACCACAGCUUUUAUGCCGAAGCAGGGACAGACUUUAGAGACUGGAAAGUUGGUGAGCCAAACAAUUCAGGAGGUUCAGAGCUCUGUGUGGAGAUUUCUGAUGCAUCUUUCUUUUGGAAUGACGUACCCUGCAAUUUCCAACUACACUUUGUGUGCUACAACGGUACAAUAAAUUACACACCAUCCUUUGUUAAGGUUGACAUGUUAUCGAAUUGGAUUGAAGCUCAGAGAUUCUGCAGGGAGAAUUAUGUGGAUCUAGCUAGUAUCAGAAAUCAGACGGAGAAUGACAUCAUCAAAAGUCUCACCGAUGUGUCGGUUUGGAUCAGUCUACACCGGGAAAAACAGUGGUCUGAUGGAAGCACAUCCCUGUUUCGACACUGGGCAGCUUGGCAACCGAGCUUUAACGGAGAGAGAUGUGUCUCUACAGCGUUCAAUGACUUAGGACGGUGGUCACAAAAAGAUUGCUCUCUCAGCCUCCCAUUCAUUUGCUACACAAGUAGUGCGUCUGAUUUCUUCUCACAGA